AUAUCAGACUUUGGAGAUGAGUCUUUAUCACAAUUUGCUGAUCAUUAUGAAGAAAUGUUGAAAGCUGCUGGAGUAGAAACAUCACACAUUGAGUUAGAAUGGACAAACCUUAAUGAGCUGUUGUAUGAAAACCAUACAGUAUCCACCCUGACAUGCCAGGAAAUCAACUUUUCUAUGAGAAAUGUCCAAAUAUAUUGGACCUCUUCCACCUGAUUCUCUCAAUACCAGCAGGGACAUCAGAAUUUCUCAAAAAUGACAACAAUGAAAACCAAGUACAGAAACAAGCUGAAGAGUAUAACAAUGACUAUGCUCAUGACCAAAAAAUCUACAUUCUUCGGAAAUUUGUGAUUUUGACCCAUCCAUUACAGUUGAUUUCUGGAAUAAAAACGGAUCCAGGAGACCAGAGUUUUUGCAAA